UACGUAGGGUGCUAGCGUUGUCCGGAUUUAUUGGGUUUAAAGGGUCCGUAGGCGGAUCUGUAAGUCAGUGGUGAAAUCUCACAGCUUAACUGUGAAACUGCCAUUGAUACUGCAGGUCUUGAGUGUUAUUGAAGUAGCUGGAAUAAGUAGUGUAGCGGUGAAAUGCAUAGAUAUUACUUAGAACACCAAUUGCGAAGGCAGGUUACUAAGCAACAACUGACGCUGAUGGACGAAAGCGUGGGGAGCGAACAGG
rnacentral:rRNA from 1 species